CGCACGGGCGAGUUAUAGCCGGUUAUAAGACCAAAAGUGGUUAUAACUCUUAAAACCGGCUAUAACUCUGGUUUUGCCCAUACAACGAGCUGUCAAAUUAAAACCGGUUUUAAGAGUUAUAACCAAGUUAAAACUGCUCGAAAAGGGAACUCGACUACUUGAAAACUCAUAGUAGCCUUUGGAAACAUUUGAAAACGUCCAACAUUGACAGGAACAAAACAACGUUUUUUCUCUGUUUCUUUGCUGAAAUACACCAGCUUAUCGGCGCGUCCCAGUUCCAGAGCAAGUUCCACAGUGGAUAGUGCACCGUGGCAAGGAACUAUCGAAAGAACUUGAUUUUGCCCUGGAAUUCAUCGCCAUUGCCCCCGGAUCCAGUGCCGCUUAAUGCCCAAAAACCUGAAUGGACAUACACACACAUGGACGUGUGCAAGAUGUGUUCCAGUAGAAAUCCGAUUUCGCACUUCGCUCGGUGCAUGUUGUAGAACUGAACUGGUUUUCCAAAGUCUUGCGGGAAGGUGGCCUAGAUCUCGGAACACUUGCCAAACCCCGGAUUCACAAGCACUACGGAUCGGCCUUACCGUUUAAAUCCAUCGGAUGCAGAUCGGUCACCAGCGCGGUCCAAUGAUCCGAGGAUUUGGCGCGUCCUGGCGGGAACGACAGGCUCACGUGCUUUAACGGGGCAUGCUACGGACUCAAUGCUCUGCUGCUGUUGCUGGUGACUCGCGCUGUUGCUGCUGUUCCACGGCGAAUAGAGGCUGACGCAGACUACGCUCCUGGCCGAUUCUCGCGAUCAAGUGUGCUGCUUUUGGUCGGACUCUCGGGCCACCUGACACAAACUCUGCCUGUGUGCAGAACUCCUACGCUGGUGGUACUUCGCUGGGACACGUGGCACUCAAGCUUGGUACUUCCAGACGCCGGUGAGGUCCACUAGCUAGGAGAUUUUAUGCGUCUCCUACAAACAACACCUGCCGAUCACUGUCGGAGUGCUCGCCAGCGAUGCUGGUUGGAAACGGUGGGGUCCAAUGGCUCACGUGGUCCAGUUGCAGGUCACGUGUCGCGAGUCGAUCGCUGGAUGGGUUGGAUGCUGACGAACGUCGAUGGUGUUCCAGUGGCUCAAGAUCGAAAACAAAGAAUUCUACGGACGAUACCACGUGACCGUGGGGACGGCUUAGCGGAGCAGCGAGGCAGGUUUCUCGUCGACGUUCGCGUCCUAUGGCUUGGAGAGGAUGGUGGGGCGUCCUUGUCUUCCGCUAGCCAAAGUGGCGGCCAGCUUUUAUUUGAUUUGUUCAGUACGUUCCAGUUUCGUUGAAGUUCUUUUAAAAUUCUAUAAUAAAAGAUAAUGCUU